GACGAACGCUGGCGGCGUGCUUAACACAUGCAAGUCGAACGGAAAGGCCCUGCUUUUGUGGGGUGCUCGAGUGGCGAACGGGUGAGUAACACGUGAGUAACCUGCCCUUGACUUUGGGAUAACUUCAGGAAACUGGGGCUAAUACCGGAUAGGAGCUCCUGCUGCAUGGUGGGGGUUGGAAAGUUUCGGCGGUUGGGGAUGGACUCGCGGCUUAUCAGCUUGUUGGUGGGGUAGUGGCUUACCAAGGCUUUGACGGGUAGCCGGCCUGAGAGGGUGACCGGCCACAUUGGGACUGAGAUACGGCCCAGACUCCUACGGGAGGCAGCAGUGGGGAAUAUUGCACAAUGGGCGGAAGCCUGAUGCAGCAACGCCGCGUGCGGGAUGACAGCCUUCGGGUUGUAAACCGCUUUCGCCUGUGACGAAGCGUGAGUGGCGGUAAUGGGUAAAGAAGCACCGGCUAACUACGUG
rnacentral:rRNA from 1 species